CAUGUCUUUUUGAUUUUAAUUUAAGGUUUAAUCUGCUCAAUGAUUAUUUAAAUUGCCGCAGUAUUUUAACUGUGCAAAGGUAGCAUAAUAAUUAGUUUCUUGAUUAGGGGCUGGAAUGAAUGAUUUGACGAGAAAAUUACUGUCUCUUUUUAAUUGGUAAUUGAAUUUUAUUUUUAAGUUAAAAAGCUUAAAUAUUAAUAAAAGACGAGAAGACCCUAUAGAGUUUAAUAUUGAUUUAUAUAAAUUUUUAGUAAUUUAAUUAUAAUAAAAUAUUUAGUUGGGGUGACUUAAAGAUUUAAUUAAUUCUUUAAUAUAUUUAUUGUUGAUAAAUAAUUUUAUAAUCUAUAUUUUUAAAUAUAAUAUAAAUUACCUUAGGGAUAACAGCGUUAUUUUUCUUUAGAGUUCUUAUUAAAAGAAAAGAUUGCGACCUCGAUGUUGGAUUAAAAUUUAUUUUUGGAGUAGUUGCUUUAAAAUUAGGUCUGUUCGACCUUUAAAAUUUUACAUGAUCUGAGUUUAAAUCGGUGUAAGCCAGAUUGGAUUCUAUCUUUAAUAAAAUAUAUUAUUUUAGUACGAAAGGACCAAAUAUUUAUUAAAUAUUAAUUGUUAUUUUGACAGAUUAGUGUGUUUGAUUUAGAAUCAUUUUAAGUAAUUAUUUUACAAAUAAUAUUUGAUUCUAUAUGAUUUGAUUAAGUUAACUUUAUCUUUAGUAUUACUUGUAAUUUUAAUUUUGAUUGGAGUAGCUUUUUUUACUUUGUUAG
rnacentral:rRNA from 1 species